rnacentral:rRNA from 1 species
AUUGAACGCUGGCGGCAGGCCUAACACAUGCAAGUCGAACGAGUGGCGGACGGGUGAGUAAUGUCUGGGAAAUUGCCUGCUGUAGGGGAUUAACUAUUGGAACCGGUUGCUAUUACCGCAUACCAACGGAUGUGCCCAGCUGGGAUGAGCUUGUUGGUGGGGUAACGGGUCACAAGGGCGACGAUCCCUAGCUGGUCUGAGAGGAUGACGAGCCACACUGGAACUGAGACAAGGUCCAGACGCCUACGGGAGGCAGCAGUGGGGAAUAUUGCACAAUGGGCGCAAGCCUGAUGCAGCCAUGCCGCGUGUAUGAAGAAGGCCAUCGGGUUGUAAAGUACUUUCAGCGGGGAGGCGUUACCCGCAGAAGAAGCACCGGCUAACUCCGUGCCAGCAGCCGCGGUAAUAC